UUCAUAGUCCAGUAUGCUGAGUUACUGACAGCAACGGUCCUGUUAACUAAGGCAUGCUCAUAUCCUUUUAGGUCCGGUCUUUGAUACCAUUGUAUUAUACCGGUAACUACUCUGUAGAAUGCACAAGGGCAAGCUGAACGAAGUCCUAGUGAUGGAUGAAUAUUCUGUGAUUGGCUGGCAUUAUACUUGCCGAUAGUGGGAACGGAAAGGUGGAAAAAUGUCUGAAUAGUGUAAGAAAGGUCACACAAUCAAAUGGUAUGGUAGUGGAUCCCUGAAUCAGCUUGUGCUGGAUUGCUUCUUUUACUUUCUCCCUGGUUUCCAAAAUUUAAAUUGAUCUGACUGUGAUCAUAAUGAUAUUUUCAAGAAAAGAAACUUUUGAUCAUAAUUCAACCAGCUGGUUAUCUUGCCAGAGAACAUGCCACAGUGAUUUCUGAAAUUCAGAGUUCAUGAAGCUCAUUCGGGAGGAACAUUAUUACUAAAAGUUCACUUUCAAAUCUUCUAGAGCCAAGCAGCCAGAAUCCCCUAGGUGGAGGCAUUAUUGAAGAUUUUGCUGGCACUGCAUCUCCUGCAGCCGUCUGUUCGAACCACCACAAUACAUUGCAUAGUAUUCAUUCAGAGGAUAAGCCGCAAUGCACUGCAUAGUAUUCAUUCAGAGGAUGAGCCAGCCAUUCUCCAUUCUCCAGAUCUGUGCGACAGUACUUUUUUCCCCCUUCCAAUCAAAGCCUGACAAACCUGAAGGAUCCGGGGCAUGAUUUCUCCGGUGGUGGCCAUGGCAACAACUUUGCCGCUCGGUUGCAGCACGAGGCAGGCACUAUCUCCUCUGCUUCAUACCAAACCUACUUUCAUCCUCGUGUAAGACAGCAAGACUGGCUGGCAAUAUAGGGCUGGUUCCUUCACUGACCAAACCACCUUGUUCAUCGAGAACAUGAAGUGAUCGCCUGCGUUACUGCAAACGGCCUGGAGUCCUGGACCCAUAUACAAUUAUAUUCUAGAUAGCUAGCUUGUGGCUGUGCUUUGGUCGGCCGCUGGUGGUGGCGUCUUCCCUUUCCGGGCAAGAGGGAAAACAAAAGAGCGGCAAGACGGCCGGGGUCGGUGACGGAUUGACGGCUCAAGGCGACGCGACGGCGACGGCGACGUAGGAAAAGUUUCUCCAUGAUCCUGUCAAGAAAAGGAGGAAAGUUUCUUGAUGUUGCCUGCUUGGCUGCUCGUCCUCCUCUCCCUUUUUAACCGUGUGGCUGAAUCCUUUUUUUUCUUUCCUGACGCGAAAUCACCGUUAGCGAUCGAUCGCUGGCUACACGGUUGCUAGCUGAAUGCUAUGAAGGGCGACGGCUCAAUCUAGCAAUAUAUUUUCUUUCAGUUAAUCUCGUCGUGAUCUGAUACUGAUGCUUUCCAAUUAAGACGUUAAGCCUACUCUAAUCGGCAGCAGAGAGGACUUGGACAUGUCCUUAAAAAUAAAUGAGUUACUCCAUAUGUACACAUCGUUCUGUAAACUCAAGGCACGCAUGGUCAAUAGACCUUAACCUGGUUAACCGAAGAUUCUAAAAUAUAAGUAUGUUUAGGU